UUGGCAAGCCAUGGAGGUUGUAGCUAAUGCUGGGGUGUGAACUGUAUAGCUGUGAGGAUAACAGACUCCAAUGGAGCAUCCUGAUGGUUUUCUAUCAGCUGUAACCUUUCACUGAGCCAGAAACCAGUCCAUAAACAACCUCUGUAAAGGAGUUACUGCAGUAUUCUGAUGCUUGCUAGCCAACAGGAACAAGACCUCUAGAUGACUUCACUGUCCUCAGGAAAUCCCUCUUCAGUCUUGGCUCUGCACUCAAUCUGCUCCAUCGUAACAUGUCUUUGGUAGUUGGCUGUUAAACAUCUAUCAACACACUCCUGAAUGGUCCAUCACUUGUAUUUAGAUUCUGAUGACUUUGAAAAGCUGAUUCUAGCAAAAAAAAAAAAAAGGACUACUGGCCUGUCAGAGGAACCCCAAAAACCCCAAGCAGAUAUUCCACAUUUUUGUUUUCUUUCCUAUACUUCGAAGUCCUUUAGCUUCCCUGCCUGCAUAACAACUACAAAUGUGGCUCUGGACCCAGAAAUCUCCCAGAUGACCACGCUUCAAGUCUGAAGUCUUCAAGAGGAGACUUUGCCUUCAUCCAUCUGUGUCCACAUUUUCACUCAUUAUAUUGCUGUGUGUUUGGCUGUGGCAUAAUUACAAGAUGGUGCAGGGAGUAGUGGACAAGAAGAAGAGACAAAUAUUUUUGAGUCUAAGAAACGCAGAAUUUCAUUGAAUACCCCUCACGUGUUACUAUUGGCCUCUGACCAAUGGAAUACUGUUUUCUUUCCCCAGCGUCACUGUUCACACAUAUCCUAC